CCACAGGUGCAGAAGGCAUUCCUUUGCUUGAAAUCUGACUGGAAAUCAGAUUCUCAUAUUCCGUCAGCAAAAGAUGAGCAGAGUGGGUCCGGGUCUCUUGGGGACACAGGAAGAGCCUGCUGUGGAUCUUAAUAAGGAGGAUGAGAGCCAGAGAUUCCUAUCUCACAGCAUCAUCUGAUUUUUGACCCUCAUGUGAAGUACCUAUGAAGUACCUGCCUCCAUCUUACCCUUCGCUCUGUUUUGUCUGGCAGUUGAUGAUGAUGUCAUGUCGGGGGUUAUGAAGUGAUGAUUUCGGCAGUGCACAGCAGCAGCUUGGAAACGACUUGGAAGCUACUACUGUAAUGCAGUCUGAAUCGGCCACAUGUCACUCACUAUUUCAUACUUGUUCCAUUGUCUGACGACAGAAACAGAAAGUAUGCGAAUGAGAACAGUUUUAUUGGGAACGUGGGUGCAAUAAAAUAGUAUAUAUGUGGACACAGAGUAGGUGAGAAGCAGACGUGAAGAACUGACACUGGCUGACACUAGACAGGGCGCAAACACAACGUGAUUAUGUCACAAAUAUGCUAAUUUGCGCAUGGCGCCAUCUAGCAAAACUU